rnacentral:rRNA from 1 species
UUAAGCGACUAAGCGUACACGGUGGAUGCCCUGGCAGUCAGAGGCGAUGAAGGACGUGCUAAUCUGCGAAAAGCGUCGGUAAGGUGAUAUGAACCGUUAUAACCGGCGAUGUCCGAAUGGGGAAACCCAGUGCAAUUCGUUGCACUAUCGUUAACUGAAUACAUAGGUUAACGAGGCGAACCGGGGGAACUGAAACAUCUAAGUACCCCGAGGAAAAGAAAUCAACCGAGAUUCCCCCAGUAGCGGCGAGCGAACGGGGAGCAGCCCAGAGUCUGAAUCAGCUUGUGUGUUAGUGGAACGGUCUGGAAAGUCCGACGGUACAGGGUGAUAGUCCCGUACACCAAAAUGCACAGGUUGUGAACUCGAAGAGUAGGGCGGGACACGUGGUAUCCUGUCUGAAUAUGGGGGGACCAUCCUCCAAGGCUAAAUACUCCUGACUGACCGAUAGUGAACCAGUACCGUGAGGGAAAGGCGAAAAGAACCCCGGCGAGGGGAGUGAAAAAGAACCUGAAACCGUGUACGUACAAGCAGUGGGAGCACCUUCGGGUGUGACUGCGUACCUUUUGUAUAAUGGGUCAGCGACUUAUAUUCUGUAGCAAGGUUAACCGUAUAGGGGAGCCGCAGGGAAACCGAGUCUUAACUGGGCGUUAAGUUGCAGGGUAUAGACCCGAAACCCGGUGAUCUAGCCAUGGGCAGGUUGAAGGUUGGGUAACACUAACUGGAGGACCGAACCGACUAAUGUUGAAAAAUUAGCGGAUGACUUGUGGCUGGGGGUGAAAGGCCAAUCAAACCGGGAGAUAGCUGGUUCUCCCCGAAAGCUAUUUAGGUAGCGCCUCGUGAAUUCAUCUUCGGGGGUAGAGCACUGUUUCGGCUAGGGGGUCAUCCCGACUUACCAACCCGAUGCAAACUACGAAUACCGAAGAAUGUUAUCACGGGAGACACACGGCGGGUGCUAACGUCCGUCGUGAAGAGGGAAACAACCCAGACCGCCAGCUAAGGUCCCAAAGUCAUGGUUAAGUGGGAAACGAUGUGGGAAGGCACAGACAGCCAGGAUGUUGGCUUAGAAGCAGCCAUCAUUUAAAGAAAGCGUAAUAGCUCACUGGUCGAGUCGGCCUGCGCGGAAGAUGUAACGGGGCUAAACCAUGCACCGAAGCUGCGGCAGCGACACUAUGUGUUGUUGGGUAGGGGAGCGUUCUGUAAGCCUGCGAAGGUGACCUGUGAGGGUUGCUGGAGGUAUCAGAAGUGCGAAUGCUGACAUAAGUAACGAUAAAGCGGGUGAAAAGCCCGCUCGCCGGAAGACCAAGGGUUCCUGUCCAACGUUAAUCGGGGCAGGGUGAGUCGACCCCUAAGGCGAGGCCGAAAGGCGUAGUCGAUGGGAAACAGGUUAAUAUUCCUGUACUUGGUGUUACUGCGAAGGGGGGACGGAGAAGGCUAUGUUAGCCGGGCGACGGUUGUCCCGGUUUAAGCAUGUAGGCUGGUUAUCCAGGCAAAUCCGGAUAAUCAAGGCUGAGGUGUGAUGACGAGGCACUACGGUGCUGAAGUAACAAAUGCCCUGCUUCCAGGAAAAGCCUCUAAGCAUCAGGUAACAUCAAAUCGUACCCCAAACCGACACAGGUGGUCAGGUAGAGAAUACCAAGGCGCUUGAGAGAACUCGGGUGAAGGAACUAGGCAAAAUGGUGCCGUAACUUCGGGAGAAGGCACGCUGGUGUGUAGGUGAAGCCCCUGCGGGUGGAGCUGAGACCAGUCGAAGAUACCAGCUGGCUGCAACUGUUUAUUAAAAACACAGCACUGUGCAAACACGAAAGUGGACGUAUACGGUGUGACGCCUGCCCGGUGCCGGAAGGUUAAUUGAUGGGGUUAUCCGUAAGGAGAAGCUCUUGAUCGAAGCCCCGGUAAACGGCGGCCGUAACUAUAACGGUCCUAAGGUAGCGAAAUUCCUUGUCGGGUAAGUUCCGACCUGCACGAAUGGCGUAAUGAUGGCCAGGCUGUCUCCACCCGAGACUCAGUGAAAUUGAACUCGCUGUGAAGAUGCAGUGUACCCGCGGCAAGACGGAAAGACCCCGUGAACCUUUACUAUAGCUUGACACUGAACAUUGAGCCUUGAUGUGUAGGAUAGGUGGGAGGCUUUGAAGCGUGGACGCCAGUCUGCGUGGAGCCAACCUUGAAAUACCACCCUUUAAUGUUUGAUGUUCUAACGUUGGCCCCUGACCGGGGUUGCGGACAGUGUCUGGUGGGUAGUUUGACUGGGGCGGUCUCCUCCCAAAGCGUAACGGAGGAGCACGAAGGUUAGCUAAUCCUGGUCGGACAUCAGGAGGUUAGUGCAAUGGCAUAAGCUAGCUUGACUGCGAGCGUGACGGCGCGAGCAGGUGCGAAAGCAGGUCAUAGUGAUCCGGUGGUUCUGAAUGGAAGGGCCAUCGCUCAACGGAUAAAAGGUACUCCGGGGAUAACAGGCUGAUACCGCCCAAGAGUUCAUAUCGACGGCGGUGUUUGGCACCUCGAUGUCGGCUCAUCACAUCCUGGGGCUGAAGUAGGUCCCAAGGGUAUGGCUGUUCGCCAUUUAAAGUGGUACGCGAGCUGGGUUUAGAACGUCGUGAGACAGUUCGGUCCCUAUCUGCCGUGGGCGCUGGAGAAUUGAGGGGGGCUGCUCCUAGUACGAGAGGACCGGAGUGGACGCAUCACUGGUGUUCGGGUUGUCAUGCCAAUGGCACUGCCCGGUAGCUAAAUGCGGAAGAGAUAAGUGCUGAAAGCAUCUAAGCACGAAACUUGCCCCGAGAUGAGUUCUCCCUGAGACUUUAAGUCUCCUGAAGGAACGUUAAAGACGAUGACGUUGAUAGGCCGGGUGUGUAAGCGCAGCGAUGCGUUGAGCUAACCGGUACUAAUGAACCGUGAGGCUUAACCUU